UAUUGGGCGUAAAGCGCGUGUAGGCGGCGAUGUAUGUCGGGUGUGAAAGCCCUCGGCUCAACCGAGGAAGUGCGCCCGAAACUACAUUGCUCGAGUGCUGGAGAGGGUAGCGGAAUUCCCGGUGUAGAGGUGAAAUUCGUAGAUAUCGGGAGGAACACCAGUGGCGAAGGCGGCUACCUGGACGGACACUGACGCUGAGACGCGAAAGCGUGGGUAGCAAACAGGAUUAGAUACCCUGGUAGUCCACGCUGUAAACGAUGGGAACUAGGUGUGGCGGGUGUUGACCCCUGCCGUGCCGAAGCUAACGCAUUAAGUUCCCCGCCUGGGAAGUACGGCCGCAAGGUUAAAACUCAAAGGAAUUGACGGGGGCCCGCACAAGCGGUGGAGCAUGUGGUUCAAUUCGACGCAACGCGCAGAACCUUACCCGGUCUUGACAUCCUGGGAACCUUUCAGAGAUGAGAGGGUGUCCGCAAGGAAGCCCAGAGACAGGUGCUGCAUGGCUGUCGUCAGCUCGUGUCGCGAGAUGUUGGGUUAAGUCCCGCAACGAGCGCAACCCCUACCCUUAGUUGCCAUCAUUAAGUUGGGCACUCUAGGGGGACUGCCGGUGUUAAACCGGAGGAAGGUGGGGAUGACGUCAAGUCCUCAUGGCCUUUAUGACCGGGGCUACACACGUGCUACAAUGGUCGGUACAAAGCGUUGCUAACCCGCGAGGGGGAGCCAAUCGCAAAAAACCGGCCUCAGCUCGGAUUGGAGUCUGCAACUCGACUCCAUGAAGUCGGAAUCGCUAGUAAUCGAAGAUCAGCACGCUUCGGUGAAUACGUUCCCGGGCCUUGCACACACCGCCCGU
rnacentral:rRNA from 1 species